AUAUCCAGCUAUACCCAAAAUAAUUCGAGUUGCAGGAAGGCGGCCAACGCAUAUGCAAUUUGAAGUAUGAAGGGUAUAU
rnacentral:misc_RNA from 1 species